rnacentral:tRNA from 1 species
UUUAUCAGUAGGUUAUUAAAACUGGCAAAUUGUGGUUUUGCUGAUUACAUUAAUGGGUUACUAUUGUACUGAUAAAU